rnacentral:lncRNA from 1 species
GUGUAUUGUUUUCAGUGGCUAGCCGGGAGGUUGAAAACAUCAUCCUGCGAUGGAGAUCCAAUUUAUCGGUUGAUGGAGGAAGAUUCAUCGAUUACUUAAAGAGUCUAUCGGGAUUUGAGUGACCAGGAUGGCAGUUCCAAAAAGUUCCGUCGAUGGCUCAAAGUUUCGUGGAGCAAAGGAUCAACGUUUGCUGCUCUCAUACUACUGGAUUCGAAGAGGCGAUGUUGGGCGAGUUAAUGAUCGCAUUUGAACCCGAAGUGUAAGGUUCAGAUGCAAGACCAAAUUCGACGGAGCUUUUUCCUAAAAAAGUUUAGAAUAAAACGGCUUCCAAAAAAGUGUAUAACAUGUUUUUCUUUUGAUUCACACAUGUAAGAUAAACAGGAAUAAAAUACCGUAAAAACAAUAAA